rnacentral:rRNA from 1 species
GAUGAACGCUAGCGGCAGGCUUAAUACAUGCAAGUCGAGGGGCAGCAGCUUUGUAGCAAUACAGGGGCUGGCGACCGGCAAACGGGUGCGGAACACGUACGCAACCUUCCUUUAACUGGAAGAUAGCCCACCGAAAGGUGGAUUAAUACUCCAUAACAUAUUGAAGAGGCAUCUCUUUGAUAUUAAAGCUCCGGCGGUUAAAGAUGGGCGUGCGUCUGAUUAGGUAGUUGGCGGGGUAACGGCCCACCAAGCCUUCGAUCAGUAGCUGAUGUGAGAGCAUGAUCAGCCACACGGGCACUGAGACACGGGCCCGACUCCUACGGGAGGCAGCAGUAAGGAAUAUUGGUCAAUGGACGCGAGUCUGAACCAGCCAUGCCGCGUGGAGGAUGAAGGCCCUCUGGGUUGUAAACGUUCUUUUCUUUGGGACGAAACCCCGUGUUCUACGGGACUGACGGUACCAGAGGAAUAAGCACCGGCUAACUCCGUGCCAGCAGCCGCGGUAAU